ACCCCAUUUAAGUAGAAUCACAAAUAUAAAGACAACUGAAUUUUAAUGAAACUAGCAUUUACGUUUCAAAAUGAAGCACUAGGAACAAGCAAAGAAAGAAUUUGGCUAAUAAAAAUCUCCUCGGUCAUCAGGUGUCCUGCAGCUAAGGAGUACUUCAAGGAGAAUUCCCACCACUGGAGCUGGGCUGUGCAGUGGCUACAGAAGAAGAUGUCAGAACAUUACUGGACACCACAGAGUAAUGUCUCUAAUGAAACAUCAACUGGAAAAACCUUUCAGCGAACCAUUUCAGCUCAGGACACGUUAGCGUAUGCCACAGCUUUGUUGAAUGAAAAAGAGCAAUCAGGAAGCAGUAAUGGGUCGGAGAGUAGUCCUGCCAAUGAGAACGGAGACAGGCAUCUACAGCAGG
rnacentral:lncRNA from 10 species